CCCCCCCCCCCCCCCCCCCCCCCCCCCCCCCCCCCCCCCCCCCCCCCCCCCCCCCCCCCCCCCCCCCCCCCCCCCCCCCCCCCCCCCGCCGCGCUCGCCGAGCGGGGGACGGGCCCCAGGGGACUGCCGGCACACGGGAGGGAGCGAGCUUUGGGCUUGCCGCCGCCCAGCUCCUCGUCUCUCCCGGGAGAUUUCGGUCCCGGUUUCCGGGCUCGGCCGGCCGUGGGUGACGGCUCCCGGGCGGUGGCACGGUCCCGCCUGCAGCCUCCCUCCCGCAGCGGCUGGGGCAGCGGCUGGGAGGUGGAGGACGAGGGGAGGAAGCAGAGGGGCUCUGGUGACACCCCCGCCCCCAGCCCGAGCUUUCUGUCCGUGGCAAAUGUGUUUGCACAGCGCCGCGCUCCUGCUGACGUGGUCGGGUUUGCGCCCUCGGAGUGCGCGGGACUGCCAUCCCGCCUCGGAAGCUAAAGAGGAUCAAACGCCUCUGCUGGCUUUAGCAGCCAUAAAACUUUACACCUCCGUCCGUCUCUGCUCUCCUUCCCAUUUGUCCCGGGGCCGAGCAAAGGCGGGAGGGGACGGGGGUGCAGAGGAGCCGCCGCCGCCGCCGUUCCCACACCGUGUUUGCCCCCCCCCCCCCCCCCCCCCCCCCCCCCCCCCCCCCCCCCCCCCCCCCCCCCCCCCCCCCCCCCCCCCCCCCCCCGGAGGGAGCCCCGCCGCACGGAGCGGCCUCUGGGGCCACCUGGGGCGGCGGCCGGGGCACUCGGUGGGUCACAGGACCUUGGCGGGAUGGGGAGGGAAGAGACCCAGCGUGGCAGACGUGGGAGGGGUGCGGUGCGCGGGAGGGAGGUGCAGACAGGGUUAGGUGGGGGUCGUUUAUCAGCCAGGCCGCUUAAGAGGAUAAUGCCACCUCACGUCCGCGCCUGGCCGCCAACCUCUCCCAAACUUCAGAAAGUAAGCGCCAAACCCGAGGUCCCCGAAAAGAGGGAAAAAGCGCCGGGGAGCGCAACCCAUGCCGCCAGCCGCACCGGGGCAGCGCGGUCCCCCCCCCCCCCCCCCCCCCCCCCCCCCCCCCCCCCCCCCCCCCCCCCCCCCCCCCCCCCCCCCCCCCCCCCCCCCCCCCCCCCCCCC
rnacentral:lncRNA from 1 species